rnacentral:lncRNA from 1 species
AAUGCCGCAGCCCUUUAAAACAGCUUCCCAUGUUGUGCUGACCCCAACCAGAAAAUUAUUUUCAUUGAUACCUCAUAACUGUAAUUUUGCUAUUGUUAAGAAUCGUAAUGUAAACAUCUGUGUUUUCCUGCCGUCUUAGACAACCCCCGUGAAAGGAUCAUGAGGUCGAGAUCCACAGGUUGAGGACCACUGGCUUGGAAUCAGGCCUAGGAUUGCACUCAAGGCAAGACCUCAGGAAUUCAGAUGGCCCUUCCAGUGCCAAGCUUCAUGUUGGAGGAAUUCCACUGUUCAUUUUAUGUUCAGAACUCCAAAGCAGAGAAGGUCCUGCCUCCGGAAGGGAUUACAAAGCUGAUUGUAGAUUAUUGGCUGUGCUUGAAAAGGAAUCCUUGAAAAAGGAAGUUUCCAGAAGUUACUGCAUUAGAACAAAGGAGUCCUUGACAAUAAAGGGGAGUUAAGAAUAAAGGAGUCCUUGGUAUUUGUCAAGAGUUUAUCUCCCCUCCCCCCACAUCCCAG